rnacentral:rRNA from 1 species
AGAGUUUGAUCCUGGCUCAGCCUGAACGCUGUCGGCGUGAUUAAGACAUGCAAGUCGUACGGUGUAGCAAUACACAGUGGCGCACGGGUGAGUAAUGCAUCGCUAAUGUACCCUGGGGUCUGGGAUAGCCAGUCGAAAGAUUGGGUAAUACCAGAUGAGACCACGAACUGGCAUCAGUUUGUGCUCAAAGGGCAACUGCCCUGGGAUCAGGCGAUGUGGUAUCAGGUAGUUGGUGGGGUAACGGCCCACCAAGCCUUCGACGCCUAGCCGGACUGAGAGGUCGGUCGGCCACAUCGGGACUGAGACACUGCCCGGACUCCUACGGGGGGCUGCAGUAAUGAAUCUUCCGCAAUGCACGAAAGUGUGACGGAGCGACGCCGAGUGAAGGAUGAAGUCUUUCGGGAUGUAAACUUCUAAAACCUGUUAGAAAGUUCUGAUCAGCAGGCUAUAAGUGGCGACUAACUCUGUGCCAGCAGUCGCGGUAAUACAGAGGCCACGAGCGUUAGGCGGAAUCACUGGGCUUAAAGCGUGUGUAGGUGGAUCGGUAAGUACUUUGUGAAAUCCCACGACUCAAUCGUGGAACUGCUUGGUAUACUGCCAGUCUUGAGGCACUCAGGGGCGAGCGGAACAGAUGGUGGAGCGGUGAAAUGCGUAGAUAUCAUCUGGAACGCCAAUGGUGAAGACAGCUCGCUGGGGGUGUACUGACACUGAGACACGAAAGCCAGGGGAGCAAACGGGAUUAGAUACCCCGGUAGUCCUGGCCCUAAACAAUGUCCACUAGUUGUGGCUCCACUGACGGAGUCAUGGCCGAAACGAAAGCGUUAAGUGGACCGCCUGGGAAGUACGGUCGCAAGGCUAAAACUCAAAGGAUUGACGGGGGCUCACACAAGCGGCGGAGCAUGUGGUUUAAUUCGAAGCAACGCGCAGAACCUUACCUGGGUUUGAAAUGGCUGGAUUAUCUU